rnacentral:tRNA from 1 species
GGUGGGUAUAGUUCAAUCGGUAGAACAUCUGUAUGUGGCACAGUAUAUUCCCUGUUCAA